ACAUUCUGCUUAAACUAUUUCUU
rnacentral:tRNA from 3 species